GACGUAGGUGGCAAGCGUUGUCCGGAGUUAUUGGGCGUAAAGCGCGCGCAGGCGGUUCGGUAAGUCCAUGGUGAAAGCGCCCGGCUCAACUGGGCGAGUGCCGUGGGGGACUGCCGAGCUGGAGGGGAGCAGAGGCGAGUGGGAAUUCCGGGUGUAGUGGUGAAAUGCGUAGAGAUCCGGAGGAACACCAGUGGCGAAGGCGGCUCGCUGGGCUCUACCUGACGCUGAGGCGCGAAAGCGUGGGGAGCGAACCGG
rnacentral:rRNA from 1 species